UUAAGUUCAGCGGGUAUUCCUACCUGAUCCGAGGUCAACCUUGUAAAAAGAUGGGUGCGAGGCAAGCGCACGCCGGACGCCCUGAGCGAGGAGAAACUACUGCGCUCGGAGACCUAGCGUGUCCGCCACUGGAUUAAGGGCCUGCAGGCGCAGGGCCCCAACACCAAGCCAGGCUUGAGGGUUGAAAUGACGCUCGAACA
rnacentral:misc_RNA from 1 species